rnacentral:lncRNA from 1 species
UCAAUUAACAUACCUUGGGCAUCAUGGAGGAACUGAAAUGGAAGAGGAAGUUACAUGGGAAUGACAUUCCAUCCUUCCAGAAGAACAAUUUCCCUGUCAAAAAUUCAAGAGGAAGAAUAGAAAGAGAUUAUGAGAAAAUCAUCAGAAUGAGGGGAUUUCCUCUAAGAAUAACAGACUU